rnacentral:lncRNA from 1 species
GAGAAUGAAUGAAGGUAUUUUUGAGUUAAUUUCUUUUUGCUAUACUUUUUAGCUUUUUCUUGCCUUCACAUUUGCUCUAAGGAAUCCAGGCCCUGCCAGAAAGUAUCCUUGACCAGCUACCCAGUUCGGCCAACCAGAUCAUCCAGAAUGACAGAAGCAUGUUUGCAUAGAGGAAAGAGGAGUUGUAGCAUGAGGAAUGCUUCAGUUUGAAUCUGACUCUGUGUUUUUUCUUGUGAGACUUUGAUCAAGGUAAUUACAUUUUGCAACUUUAGAAAGUUAGCUCUAAUCAAGUAAAAACUCUUUCUUUCCUUGAUGAUAUGGUAUAUCUUGGUGCUUAGAAAUAUGUGG